AUUGAACGCUGGCGGCAUGCCUUACACAUGCAAGUCGAACGGCAGCACGGGGGCAACCCUGGUGGCGAGUGGCGAACGGGUGAGUAACACAUCGGAACGUACCCAGUUGUGGGGGAUAACCAGUCGAAAGACGGGCUAAUACCGCAUGAUCUGGCGACAGCAAAGCGGGGGAUCGGCAACGACCUCGCGCGAUUGGAGCGGCCGAUGUCCGAUUAGCUAGUUGGUGGGGAAAGGCCCACCAAGGCUUUGAUCGGUAGCUGGUCUGAGAGGAUGAUCAGCCACACUGGGACUGAGACACGGCCCAGACUCCUACGGGAGGCAGACAGUGGGGAAUUUUGGACAAUGGGGGCAACCCUGAUCCAGCCAUGCCGCGUGAGUGAAGAAGGCCUGGUGUAAG
rnacentral:rRNA from 1 species